CGUAAUCUGGCACAUGUUGGGGACCGUUCCUGACGAGGGGGGCGCCCCACGUGGACAGCCAGGCUCUCCAGAGGCCACGCUUCUCCGCCCCACACCAGAGGCGCAUGCACGAGGCUGCCUGGCACGCCCCGGUGAACCGCAUCCUGGGGAGGAGAGCCUAGAUGUUUCCGUGUCCUGUCUGGGCCCCGAGAACGCUGUCCCCGUGUCCCUGUGUCCGUCUGGCCUUUGUGCUUACAGGACGACCUCUCCCAUCCUGACCCAGCUCGGUCUCCGAGGCGGCCGGCGGGCCCCUGAAGCUUACAGGGACUGCCACCCGGUCCGGGGGUUCCAAGGCUGCACGCCGCGCGGCCCCCACCCGCCAGGACGUCACGAGGGUCCGCCGUGGCGGAGGAGGCAAGAAGCACCAGUGGGCGCCUGGCGGGGUCUGGGUGAUCCCCGGCCCCACCACUGACCGCAGGCCGAUGGCGAGGUCCCACCAACACCUCCUCAGGUUGCAGGGCAAAGACCAGCAUUGCCCGGGGUGGGGGGCGCUAAACAGUGACCCACAGCAAGGCCGAACACCCCCCGCGUCACUGCAGGGGCGCAGGUGGGGCCGGGCCCAGAGCAGAAGGGCCGCCCACAUGCCAUGCGCCCCGCCAGGACCCCGACCUCCGCUGCCACACAUCCUUCACGGGGUUCUUUCUCCCGCCCUUCUUUUGGAAGCUGGACCAUCCUUCCAGGACCCAGAGCCGUCCCCAAAGCCUGUGUGCCCCUCUUCCCUCUGGAAAGGAGCCAAGGCCAGGUGGGUGUCUUGAGCCGCCGGGAUCGGCCCACGCUGCUCUCUGAGCAAGGUGCGUGGGGAGCCCGGUCCCUGAGCGGGAGCCACACGGCCUCCACGUCUACCCGGGUCCCCAGGCGGUCGAGGCACGCGAGGCAGGCGAGGCACGUCCCAGAGUUCCGAGGAAGGGAAGUGAACGGGCCUCAGGACAAACAAAUGUCGGUGAACUUGAGGAAAUGGAAAACAUCGAAUCCCUUCUCUGGCAGGGGAAGCAAGAGAAGGACCGAGCAGAGCCAAGGAGGGUUCCGGCCGGCCCGGCGGCUCCAAGCAGCUGGUCUAAGCAUCAGGGGCGGGAGGCAGCGCAUGUGCAGGCCUGCAGGACGCGCAUGAACGCCUGGUCCUAGGUUGGAAAGUGGAGUGCUGCAGGGGUGAAGGAGAGAGGGCUCACGCAGGCAGCCCAGCAUCUCGGCCCCUCCCAGGCCCCCCGUGGGGCAUCACCUGUGGCCACAGGGGCAGGGGAGGAGGGUCUGCUCCCUUCUGAGUCUCCUGAGCUGCAACGUCUCGGGCACAGGAGACGACCGGCAGGCCCCGGACGGGCGCUGGAACUCGGGAGGCAGUGAAGCCGGCGGAAGGAAGGGGCUGCAGGUUGAUUCGGCAGCCGGGGCUUCUCCAAGGCCCGGGCUCUCUCCCCAUCUCCGUGCUCGGCCCCAGGCACCCCCCGGCAGCCCACCUUACACACCGGUGUCUGGAGGCAAAAGAAGGCUAGAUCUUUCUGGGGGCUGUUUUAAGAGCUGAGGCUCUUUCCCAGGAUUCCCCUCUUGGCCCCUCGCACCCCGGUUACAAGGAACAGGAGCAGAAUCCCUGUGACUGGCUGGGGCGGGGACAGGGCCACGUACCGGAUUACGGUCAGGCACCUCCCAAGACCUGCCCGCUUGGGGGCCAGCUCUCUGGGCCAUGCCCACGUGGCCUUGUCACGCCUCACGUUUAAGCUGUGUGCCUCCUACCUGCCAGCUCGGGCUUCCCUGUCCAGGCAGAAGCGUGGGAUGCCACGGAUGUCUCUCAAGGCCAAGGGCGGGCAGCCUGGAGCUCUGCCUACAGGUGCUGAUACCCUGCGGUGACCCUUGGACCCAGGGGAGCAGAGCCGGUGGACAGAUCCUCCCCUCUCUCCCCUGGAGUGAGCAGGUGUGAGGCUCCCCAAAGCCCGCCCCUCUCGUCUGCUCCACGGGGCUGCAGCCCCAAAUCGAGCUGGCACACGCGGGCACUUGCCUCUGGUUAGGACAGCCGCCUUCCCUGAGCACAGCAAUGGCGCGAGCCCCCCCGCAAGCCAGACAACAAGAAAGAGACGCGCUGGAGUAACUAACGGUACCUGCCAACGACGUGUAGCCCAAUUAGUGGGAAACCCGAGGAACGGGGAGAGAUGGGGGGAGGGGGGCUUGUCUGAGUAACGCCUUCACAAAAACAAAAGCUCUGGCCCCAGACAGCUUUAUGAGAGAUCUCUCAAACACUCUGGGUUCUCCGGGGAAUUCUAUCGCACGCGAUCUCUUUGUUCCCAGGCUGCGGCCAUGGCUCCAAGCCACAGGGGAGCAAAGCCUUUCUAUUCACUUCGUGGAACUACAUCGUUCUCCCGCUGAAAUCAAACAAAUGCGAAGUUGAACCAAGGGAAACUGAGGCACUGCUAGCCUGAGUCCGGAGCAGAGUCCAAAUCUGGAGGGCACGCGAAAGAACUCGUGGCUUUAACGUCUGCAGAACCCCGACUCACAACAAACGGCUUCACUUAUGGGUUUAGGAGGGAAAAUCCCCCCCAAAAAGCAUAGGAGAUCAAACGAGUAGCAUGCUGGAUGAUUCAUACACCGGGACCAGGCAGAAAUUUAGUCGCAGGCAGCUUUGGGCCGUUCACCCUCACUCUCGUAGGACGCUCCUUUACGUGAACGUAAUACGGUUUCUGUGCCCGUGCCGCUGUUGACGGACGUCUGGACGAUUUCUCACAAUGCACCUCUGUAAACGGUUCUUCUGUGAGGGCUCAGGGUGUGCGUCCUGAAGCCCCGUCCUCUGGGGGAUUUUCUGGGUCACCGGGCACGUACCCACUCAACAUGACAUCGUCACCUUCCCCAUCCUGAAGUGACCCAUUUACUGUCCUCUACGAUCUUCUAAGACUUGUCCGAUUUUGCCUUUCCACUAAGAGCUGAAAUAAACCCGUAAUUAAUUUUU